rnacentral:rRNA from 1 species
AGCGAACGCUGGCGGCAGGCCUAACACAUGCAAGUCGAACGAAGUCUUCGGACCUAGUGGCGGACGGGUGAGUAACACGUGGGAACGUACCUUUUGGUUCGGAACAACUCAGGGAAACUUGAGCUAAUACCGGAUGAGCCCUUAGGGGGAAAGAUUUAUCGCCGAAAGAGCGGCCCGCGUUAGAUUAGCUAGUUGGUGAGGUAAAGGCUCACCAAGGCUACGAUCUAUAGCUGGUCUGAGAGGAUGAUCAGCCACACUGGGACUGAGACACGGCCCAGACUCCUACGGGAGGCAGCAGUGGGGAAUCUUGCGCAAUGGGCGAAGGCCUGACGCAGCCAUGCCGCGUGAAUGAUGAAGGUCUUAGGAUUGUAAAAUUCUUUUACCAGGGACGAUAAUGACGGUACCUGGAGAAAAAGCCCCGGCUAACUUCGUGCCAGCCGCCGCGGUAA